AGUUGGUGGAGUGAUUUGUCUGGUUAAUUCCGUUAACGAACGAGACCCCUGCCUGCUAAAUAGGUUGCCGAGUGAAUUUUCACUGGGUAAAUCUUCUUAGAGGGACGUGCAUUCUAUUAGAUGCAGGAAGAUAGGGGCAAUAACAGGU
rnacentral:rRNA from 1 species